rnacentral:rRNA from 1 species
AUGGCACUACUAGCGAAGCAAUGCUGGCGGCUCAUCCAUUCCCAUGAAUCCCUGUGCGCACAAGUUCUUCAAGCAAAGUACUUCCCUGAUGGUGACAUUCUAAGAGCUGAACCAACUAAGGGUAUAAGCUAUGUUUGGAGAAGCAUUUUAAAAGGAAUAAAGGUACUCAAUGAGGGGCUCAUAUGGCGCGUCGGUGAUGGCACUAAUGUCAGAAUCUGGGAAGUUCCUUGGAUCCCAAAAGGUAUCACGCGACGUCCAAUAUCUCAUCAAGGCCAGAUGACACUUACUCGGGUAUCAGAACUCAUUAAUCCUGGGACUGGCACUUGGAAUCCUGAGCUAGUAUAGAGUUGCUUCCAUUCGGAUGAUGUCCCGACCAUCAUGAGCAUCCCCAUUUGUGACCAAGCAGGAAACUUCUUAGCAUGGCAUUUUGAUUAUAAGGGCCUUUUUUCUGUAAAAUCAGCAUACAAGGUUCAUGUUAAUAUGCUGAAAAGAGAAGCGUCGACAAUAGGACAAAGUUCAUUACCUGACGGGAUAGAUGUAGACAUGCUUCAGGAAAUUUGGAGUACCAGAUGCCCACCAAAGGUGCGCCACUUCCUUUGGAGACUUGGCCACAACAUCCAUCCCAUGUAAAUGAACAUAAGUAGGAAGGGGAUCAAACUCGACACUAUAUGUGCCAUAUGUGGAUGGUACUUUGAGGAUGGUGGACAUCUUUUUCUGCAGCGUAUGUUUGUGAAACAACACUAGAGAGCUUUACUACUAGAAGAGGUUAGACUGAAGCUUGGCGGUCUGAAUUCGGCAAAAGAAGUUGUCCAUGUCAUGCUAAAACUACUAGAGGAGCAGAAACUAAUGACGAUUGCACCAUUACGGUCCUGGUGGAUGGAGCGGAAUCGAGGCAAACAUAGAGAGCAUAGACUGAGUACAGACGAAUUUCAAUUUGUUGUCAGGCGCCGUGUAAACAAAGGUUCUGAAUUACUAACACCCAAACAGAUUGCUUGA